GGGGUUGUAGUUAAUAAUAACAUUUGAGUUGCAUUCAAAAAGUACUAAUAAAGUCAUCCUCA
rnacentral:tRNA from 1 species